AGCAUAACACUGCUUCUAAACCAGGGGUGUUAAAUGUUAAAUCCAUCUCCUCCAUGUGAGUUUUGUCUUAAACGGCAAUGACAUCUACAAGUGACAACUGAAAGGACAUUUUGGUUUCUGUUUCUAUUUCGUCUUGCCCUGCUCAUUAUAACUGUAGUUUAAACAUUAAAUAUCUUCUGACUGUCUGUGACUGUGCCACACAAGUUUCGCAGUCAUUAUGAAUGGAUAAAAUGAUUGUAACUUGUAAGAUCUGUAGGAGUAAAACACAGUAUAAAGACAAGACAUUAUUUUUAGAAUAAUCACCAUUUUCAAACAUUAUUCCUCACGCAGUCACACCCUUUUCCUCAUCUUUGUCCACAUGCUUGCUCUGCUUCUUCUUGUUGCUGGACUGUCCUGCAGCAGGUGUCUGUUUCUCUGCUCCUCCGCUGUCUGGUUUGCGUUUGCUGGGAGUCUGGUUGUCUUCCUGAGCCAGGACUGUGCUGUGAGCCAGUCUGUCUUCAUUAGGACUCGCUCGCUGGCUUGAGCUCAGUUUAGAAAAUCUGUCUCUCAUCUCCUUCAGUCUCUGAUCCACCGUACACUUCUGCAGCUCCAGCAUCACCUGCUGCUCCUGAAAGCAUGGGGAGCAUCAGAGACACAGACGGAAGGGGCCAGUUUGCCCUUGUCCUGUGCACAAAAGACCAAAAAUUGUACCACUGUAUCAGAUGUUUACAAGGCUAAGAAUUGAAAUGCGUUUCAGUGGGUAUUUUUACACUGAAGAAGUCCUCUACUAAUGUUCCAAAGGCCUCCGGUGUGUUUUCCUCAUCCAUCUAACAUUGAAACAGUGAUGAAACAACUGCAUGCUUAAUGCUGAAAUGGCCAAGUGGAAGGCUUUCAUGAAUUCAAG
ensembl:lncRNA